GACGAACGCUGGCGGCGUGCUUAACACAUGCAAGUCGAACGGAAAGGCCCUGCUUUUGUGUGGUGCUCGUGUGGCGAACGGGUGAGUAACACGUGAGUAACCUGUCCUUGACUGUGUGAUAACUUCAGGAAACUGGGGCUAAUACCGGAUAGGAUCUCCUGCUGCAUGGGGUGGGUUGGAGAGUUUCGGCGUUGGGGGAUGGACUCGAGGCUUAUCAGCUUGUUUGUGGGGUAGUGACUUACCAAGGCUUUGACGGGUAGCCGACCUGGGAGGGUGACCGGCCACAUUGGGACUGAGGUACGGCCCAGACUCCUACGGGAGGCAGCAGUGGGGAAUAUUGCAGAAUGGGCGGAAGCCUGAUGCAGCAACGCCGCGUGCGGGAUGACGGCCUUCGGGUUGUAAACCGCUUUCGCAUGUGACGAAGCGUGAGUGACGGUAAUGGGUAAAGAAGCCCCGGCUAACUACGUG
rnacentral:rRNA from 1 species